UUAGUGUGAAAAUAGAAGUGAAACAAGGUGGCUUUGCAACAUUUCUAAACCGCCUUCAGCUGGUCUGCGACUCAGAGCGGCUGCUCUCUGUGGUUGCCCGGGCAGUGUCCCUCUCUGUGACAUCAAGAGCAGCGAUGAGGAGUGUUUCUCCCCACGUCGCCACCCUCUUGCUGGGGAAUUUUCUUCUCCCCAGACCAUCACCCACUGACCAGCUUUCGAGCUGGUGCUCUUUUGAUAUUUCCAGAAGCUCCAGGUCAGGCCUUCCUGCCUCAACAAGUACCUGUGGCAAGUCUGUUCUCAAACCUACAGGUAGACUGGUCGCUAACACAGUUUCUCCAUCUGUAAUAUACCUAGCUUCUAGGGCUGUAGUGAAGAUGAGAAGAGUUAAUUCAUGUAGAGGACUUAGAAAGCUGCCUUGCCUGGACCCAGCACUCAGAACAUUAGUCAUUAUGAACGCUGUUAAUCAUUUUUAUGCUUCCAUCUACAUCCAGAUUAAAUGAAGUCUUUCCUGAAUGUCCUUCAUCAAAUAUUUCCUAAAUACCCCAGCCAGACGUUGAAUCUUCAGUGGGGUUGCUUUUAGGCAACAUUUUCCAUUUUGUAUUGCCAUUGUCAUAUAUAUUCUAAUACACCAUAAGGUACAGCAGUAAAAAAAAAAACA